GACAGAGGGUGCAAACGUUGCUCGGAAUUACUGGGCGUAAAGCGCGUGUAGGUGGAUUGGUGUGUCAGAUGUGAAAGCCCUGGGCUCAACCCAGGAACUGCACCUGAAACUACCAGUCUUGAGUGGUGGAGAGGGAAGUGGAAUUCCUGGUGUAGAGGUGAAAUUCGUAGAUAUCAGGAGGAACACCAGUGGCGAAGGCGGCUUCCUGGACACCAACUGACGCUGAGACGCGAAAAGCGUGGGGAGCAAACAGG
rnacentral:rRNA from 1 species